CCAGCAGCCGCGGUAAUUCCAGCUCCAAUAGCGUAUAUUAAAGUUGUUGCAGUUAAAAAGCUCGUAGUUGAACUUCUGUGCAUUCCCGAUUCCGGCUCUUGUCGAAUUGUGGAGUGUGCAUCCGCUUACAAACUUAGCCCGGUCUUCAUUGGUCGACUAAGGGAGUAGGCCCUUUACUUUGAAAAAAUUAGAGUGUUUCAAGCAGGCUAUGGCUCGAAUACAUUAGCAUGGAAUAAUGGAAUAGGACUGAGGUCCAUUUGGUUGGUUAUUGGACUUUAGUAAUGAUUAACAGGGACAGUUGGGGGCAUUAGUACUUAACAGUCAGAGGUGAAAUUCUUGGAUUU
rnacentral:rRNA from 1 species